GUGAAAUGCUCUGGGCAACAGGGCUGCAAGCUCCUGCUGGGCAGCGCAGCUGCAGAGCCGCGGCCUGACCCGGUGCUCUGUGCUGCACAGCGGUGUGCCUGGCUCCAGCUGGGCGGUAUGGCUGCCUGUCCUGGUGCUCUGGGCGGCGCGGCUGUAGAGCUGCCAGCCACUGGUACUCCAGGAAGCAUGACUGAUGACUUUCAAAGAAACACAUGGCUCAGGACCAAAGGACUGGUCCACAAGGAGGGUGAGAAUUAUUGCUAUUAGUUACUCCAUGAGUUCAAGUAGCAGAGGUCUUUGUGCUGGAUCUAAUGUUCGACCCAGCUGGUUCAUCAUGUUUCAGUCAAUACGGUGUUGUACGAUGGACUGUUUUUUCAGUUUGCUUUUUUUAAUAACAUAGGCAAUUACAAACAAAAAUUAUAUCACAAGAACUUUAAGGUUGCAAAGUUAAGCACUUCAGAUUGCCUUUGCAACUUAAUUCAGCUCCCCUUUUCUAAUGCAUUAUGAUAUAGGCUUUAAUUACUUGAUCACGUACUAUGUUUUAAUUACUUGAUCACGUACUAUGAGGAUUCUUGCCUCAUUCAGUGCACAGGAUGGACGGGCUCAGUUAAUGACACUAUUCAACAUAGUAAGUGGGGGUCUACUUAAAUUGCGGAGAAAUCAACAUUUUUCACAGGGGGGGGGUCACAGUAUUGCUACCCUUCUGCACUGCCUUCAGAGCUGGGUGGCCAGAGAGCAGCGGCUGCUGGCAAGGUGCCAACUCUGCAGGCAGAGUCACCGCCAGCAGCCGCGCAGAAGUGAGAGUAGCAUGGUAUGGAAAGCAUCAGCAGCUGCUGGCUGACCGCCCAGCUCUGCAGGCAGCGCAGAAGUAAGGGUGGCAAUACUGUGACCCUCUUCCAAUAGGCUUGUGACACCCUUUUCACCCCCUUGUGACCCCCAGUUUGAGAAACACUGCACUUUUGUAUACUUUUACCCUAUAGUAUGGAGCAAAAAUACACAAAAGACCAGAUUUCAUGGGGGAAACUGGAUUUCACAGACCGUGACAUGUUUUUUAUGGCCACAGAUUUGGUAGAUCCCUAAUAAUAAGGGCACUGCAAUGCGGAUGCAUCUUAUAUUUAUCAUAGUGGGUUUGGGAGUUAGGCCUGUGAACUGUGCCACUCAUUCAAUGGCACAUAUUGAAGAAUUCACCGAUUAGCAUUGCUAAGAGUCCUGGGCAGGGAUGUGCCCUCAGAGUGAUACAUUAUGUCAACAGCAUAUGGUUUGGAGGAAUUAGGCCAAAAUUAGAGAAAGAGAAAACAUGAUGCCCAACUCUGCUCUAACCUAGGGGUCAAUGCGAGUCAAGGCAAUUGGGGAAAAUGUUGCAUUGAGGUACAUAAAGAGUCCAAUAAAGGCUAGUUCUCCUGCCCCGCAAGGGGCUUCAGUGGACCUGAAAUAAGGAUUAUGGUCUGGUUAGCUGGGAAAGGUUCUGGACUGUUUUGUUUUCCAUUCUAUUUUCUGCAGACUGAUGACUUUCAAAGAAACACAUGGCUCAGGACCAAAGGCAGACACAUCCUUAUUCUGAUUUAUGUUUUAGUCUGUGUGAUAAAUGAAGUUUUAGUCUGUUCUCCCCAAACUGGCUGCAAUGCUCCUUCCUCAGGAUCUACAUUGUUGUUAGUUAUAUGCCCUACCCCUGUACUUUAACCCUAAUCCCUCUAGUAAACAGGAAUUAAUUUUGUGAGUCUAUUUCCGCUAAGAAAUCCAUUAAGUCCCCAAGGAAGCAUAUCAGAGGCUUCAGCUGUUCUUAGUGCUUCUCCCCUUCUAACUUGCAGAGCCCUGAUCACAGUUUGAACCUGCAGAUAAGUUACUGUAGGCUCUUGUGAGAACAGCAGGGUUGCAACCCUGACUCCGCCUCCACGUGGGUACAGGUGGGUUUUCCUCCUUUACUCCCAUGUAAGGUAGGGGGAGAGGAGAAACAAGACCACAGUGACUUAAAAUACACUCUUUUUUCAAAAAUACUCAUCAUAGAAUAUAGGGUGGUGAAAAAUUAGAGGAGAGAAGAAGGAAAGAUGGGAGGACAUAAUAUGACAUUACAUUACAAGCAAAGCAAUUCCCUUGUAUAUAUCACUGUGAUGUAGCAAAUGUGGACGAAGGAACCAAUUGAAAACGGGGGAAACUAAUAGUGUGUUACGGUGCAAUAAAAGUUGUGUGUUGAUUGCAUAACUAGAAGGGUUAGUGCAUACCACUAUGCAAAUUAUUAAAGGAUCACAGCCUAUAAGAAAGAUCAAAUUAUGUAUUAUAUUUCCCUAAUCUUAAAAGGCUUCUGAUACUAACUGGAACAUUUUCUGUAAUACUUUGUGCCUUGAAAACCACAUAUAAUAAAACAUGAUUGUGGCAAACAUGUAAGAAUACACCUAGGUUCUGAUUUUAAUUUAACACAGAAGUUUCUCCCAAUCAGUUUGUCAUCCAGAUUUUGUUAUUAGUAUGACAAACUAUUUUUCUAACCCAGUCUUUAGAACAGCCUGAACAUAUGAAGCCAACCCAUUCUUCAAAAUGCCAUUGAUCACCAUACAUUACUCACACAUAACUAAAUGGAUGUAGAAGAAUAUCUCCUCUGAGCAUCUCAUCAUAUUUUGAGCAGCCAGACUGUCCAAGUAAAGUAGUUUCCCCAUGGAAUUAUGACAAUAAAAUCUUGUUGUCUCACACUGGAGCCAAUAGCUGUAGCUGUUUCCUCUAAUACUGGCCCCACCCCUGUGGAACACCUGAGCUCACCUGCCGCCUCUCUGUACCUCUGGCACUUUUAAGUUCUGCAAGCUUCCUCACCCUAGCAGCUCGCUGCUGCUGACUGGAGAACAGAGGAACACAGCAACUGCGUGACAUGAGAGGUCCAUUGUGGUGGGAAAGUGAGAGGAAUGGCCUGUUGCAAAAGGGUGACUCCAAACAAAACAGAUUUGGAAUCACUUCUGUAUGUAGUAAUCUUCUUUUGGAAAAUACUAUAAACUCCUCAUUUACUGCUACGCUAAGAGCCACUGCCAUUUAUGAUGGAAGACAAAAAGCAAACAAUGAAUAAUCUUUUUUUCCUGACUUUUCAGUUUUUUCCACUCCUAUGAUUUGCAGGUAUUGCUAACAUAUGAUUGAUAGGAAAAUAUUAAGAAAAUGCCCAUCUACACAAGGCCAUUAAUUUUACAGUCUGGAUAAUUAUUCUGCAAUCUCAAUCUGUACAAUACUGUACAUAUAUUAGUUUUACGGAAAAACAAUAAAAAGUAAUGGCCCGAUUUUCAGAAGUUCUUUGCACAGCAACUCACUCUGAAGUUAGUAGGAUUGCUCAGAUUUUCUGAAAAUCAGCUCCUUCAUUUUCAAAGGUGCUGAGCAUCGUCAGCCCCCAUGUGCUUCAACAGGCAUUGGGGGCACAUGGGGCCAGGUUUUCAAAGAUUUUCAUUACAGCCCUGCACAUAAAGAUGCAGCUAGGAGCCUAAUGAGCUUUGUAAAAACACCUAAAGCACUCUAGGUGCCUAAAUCUCAUCAACUUCAAUUGAUUUCAAUGAAAAUUAAACACCUAGGCAGCUUCAAAACUUUGAAAAAUUCCAGGAAGUGUCUAUCUGCAUCUUUAGGUGCUUCAAUGCUUUUGAAAAUCCGGCUCUUGCUACCUCUCAGAACAUGAUCAGCACCUUACUGCACCAGCGCUAUACACAGCGCCUUUCUUUGAGAGCCAUGAUAGUCACCAGCUCCACAGGGCAUAACUGACAUCCAAAUCAGGGGUGGGGAACCUACGGCCCGUAGACCGGACUCAGCCCACUGCUUAAUUUCACCGGCCCGAGGCAAGUAUUUCUAAAAAUACAGACCUAUGACA